rnacentral:rRNA from 1 species
GUAGGUGGCAAGCGUUGUCCGGAAUUAUUGGGCGUAAAGCGCGCGCAGGCGGUCCUUUAAGUCUGAUGUGAAAGCCCACGGCUCAACCGUGGAGGGUCAUUGGAAACUGGGGGACUUGAGUACAGAAGAGGAAAGCGGAAUUCCAAGUGUAGCGGUGAAAUGCGUAGAAAUUUGGAGGAACACCAGUGGCGAAGGCGGCUUUCUGGUCUGUAACUGACGCUGAGGCGCGAAAGCGUGGGGAGCAAACAGGAUUAGAUACCCUGGUAGUCCACGCCGUAAACGAUGAGUGCUAAGUGUUAGGGGGUUUCCCGCCCCCCUUAGUGCUGCAGCUAACGCAUUAAGCACUCCGCCUGGGGGAGUACGGCCGCAAGGCUG